rnacentral:ncRNA from 2 species
CAGAGUUCUCAGGGCGGGGUGCAAUUCCCCACCGGCGGUGAUGACGAGCGAUCGUCGAGCCCGCGAGCGCCCGCUCGCACCGAUCGACGAUCGGUGCGGACGGGGUCAGCAGAUUCCGGUGUGAACCCGGAGCCGACGGUCACAGUCCGGAUGAGAGAGAACCCCC